UGUAUAUCCUGUACUUACUGCUUAUUGCACUUCUGGUUAGAUGCGGACUGCAUUUCGUUGCCUUGUACCUUACAUGUGCAAUGACAAUAAAGUUUAAUCUAAUCUAAUAAAAUAAAUGAGUAAAUCCCCUCUGAAACUUAAUAAAUUCAACCAUUGCACUUUACUUAAAAGACAUGUUAAGAGUCACAAACUGCACGGAGACAUGAAAGCUGAGGAGCCAAAUGCAAUAUUUAUUAAAGGGUAAUCAAAAGAUGUAAUCCAGAAACAAGCAAAAGGUCAUACAGAGGCAAUCAACCAAACAAUAACAACAUGGCAAAAAGCACAGGCAGGGAAUCAAAAACCAAGAAACAUGAAACAAGGAACUGUUCAGAACUGCAGGGUGACGUACAGCAAGACUUCACUGACAGUGGCUGCGUCCGAAAUGGCAUACUUCCCUACUAUAUAGUAUGGAAAAAGCAGUAGGUGAGCGAAUUGGUAUGUUUGAAUCCUCUGUGUUCAUAAAAGAGUAUGUUAGAAUUGCUCUAAUUCUCACGAGAUUCAGACGUACAUAUACUUAAUUUGCGUUCUAAUAUGCCUACUUACCUACUAUAUAGUAGGGAAAAAGAGUAUGUGAAGAAAGAGGUAUGUUCCAAAACCUCAGUAUUCAUGAAACAGUAGGCGAGAAAUCCCCGGAUGUCCUACUGCUUCAGCCCAGAUUCUGCAGUGUUCAUCGAUGGAUACUUUUCAAUCCCAUGAUGCCAUGCGAGAGGAUACGUCAUCAUCGAACGUAAAAGAGAGCAGCAACGAGGGUUUAUAAAGGUGAGUAUUAUAAACCAAAACAUGGUUCCUGUGUUAAAAUCAUAUUUGUUGAGCUACUGUAGAGGAAACUGUUGAUUUGUUAAGAUGUAAAGACGCCAGCCAGUAACGUGACAGUAUAUUUGUAACAAAAGUAAUAAUUCUAUAAAAACAAGUUUUAUUAUGUAUAGGAAACAGCGGAGCUCCAGUAAGCACAUGUACAUCUCCAAAGUAAAUUUACAUAAACCAUAUACAUCUUAAAGACGAUGAAAUGUCUAUUUAAUAUGAGACAGGAACAUGUUCUAAGAGCAUUGCAGAUGAGCAAAUCACAACAUGAACAGACAUCUGAGUGAGAGAUGUGUGUGCGCUAUUACUGUAUGUAGAAUUCACUGUCAACACUGCUUUAGAUGAAAGUAAUGUCAAUAAACAAAUCUACAUAAAGUAAACAUAAGUUUAUCAUCAUUUGACCAUUAGUACCCCUGAUAAAUUGAGGAACAUUUGUGUUGGAUAAAAAGUGAGUUAACACAUCUGCAACUAGCUCAACAUGUAAAUGCAGUAUAUCACAGAUAAAUGACAGAGGAGACUGACUCGUCUGGAUGUUACAGGGACACAUGAGACACACGUGUGUUUAUCUGCUGAAGAGAGACUGAUAAAGGAAUGCUUCCAUCAAAGACUCAAUGCAGAGCUUUUGUGGUGGAGCAGGUGACAGCGGCAUCUGUGGGGAAAAAAAGGAAAACCUGAAACCAAAAUAUAAAGGUCUGAAAUGUUCACAGACUGAUGUGUGCACUGAGGAUGGAGAAGUGCCAUGAAUGAAAUGCUCCAUCACUGCAUCUCCUCUUGUUUUCUCAUCAGGACCGCAUGUUGCUGUGGUCUCUUCAUCCUAAGUGACCCCAGAGCAGCGAGAGCAUCUAGAGAAAGACCAAAAGACAUUUAGGAUGUGAUUUUUGUCAAGUUUGUUCUGCUGGUUUCUGUUCAUACAACAUCAGUCAAUAAAAAUGAGUUUCAGAAGCUUCAAAAGCAUCAUCAAAUAAUGUCAUGAAGAAUCUGAAAGUCAGGCUCCAUUUAGGGAUGGCUGACACGAAACAGACGUUCCGAAGCAUUGUGAGAUCCCGAAGUGCAGAUGUUUUGAAACACUGAGCCGACUGAGUCACGUGACAACGGCCUCUAAGUGUUUCACAAGUGUUUCGACAGGUGGCAUGGUCCGCCGAAUCAGCGUUUGGGUACCCGGUCGGGUACAGACCACACAAUCGCACAUCUGUAUAAAAGUGAAGUCAACUCAUCUUGACCUCGUGGGUUUUUGUGAGAGGAGUUUGAUUUUGAGAUAACGGAUAUUUGGUGAUAUAGUGACAUUUAUAGUGCGAUUUGUUUAGUUAUAUUUAGGCUUACAUUUAAAUUUACACAUUCACUGAUAGGCUACAGACAGACAGAGUAUACAUAUAGUGACACAUUAAUAGAUGCAUAGAUAGAAAUAUAUAUAG